UACGUAGGGUGCAAGCGUUGUCCGGAAUUAUUGGGCGUAAAGAGCUCGUAGGCGGUUUGUCGCGUCUGCUGUGAAAACUCGGGGCUUAACCCCGGGCCUGCAGUGGGUACGGGCAGACUAGAGUACUGCAGGGGAGACUGGAAUUCCUGGUGUAGCGGUGGAAUGCGCAGAUAUCAGGAGGAACACCGGUGGCGAAGGCGGGUCUCUGGGCAGUAACUGACGCUGAGAAGCGAAAGCGUGGGGAGCGAACAGG
rnacentral:rRNA from 1 species